rnacentral:tRNA from 2 species
GGGCGAUUAGCUCAGUUGGCUAGAGCACUACCUUGACAGGGUAGGGGCCACUGGUUCGAGUCCAGUAUCGCCCACCA